rnacentral:tRNA from 1 species
GCGGGCGUGUUGUAACUGGUAGCCAAGCUAGACUUAGGAUCUAGUGCCGAAAGGCGUGGGGGUUCGAGUCCCUUCGCCCGCA